GGUAGUUUUGACUACAAACCACGCUCGCUCUUCCCAAAAUGACAAGAGGAUUUAUGUGCACUUGCACAAUCGCAUUUAUUUUUCUGGUGGUGGAAUCACAUUCUUCUGUGAAGCAGAAUAAACUGAAUGCAAACAACUGGGGCCCACAGUCAAUGAUGUACCUGAAAGGAAAAUAUGGCAGAAGAUUGGCACCUGACUAUGAUGGGAAUGGUAUAUAUAAUUUAGGCUUGAAAGACUGGUACACAGUUCUCAAAGGAUUCCAAAGGUUGAAGCCAGUGGUCGUGAGGAAAGCCAGACGAAUGCUGAAGGCUGAAAACAUAGUGAUGGGCUACCUGGAGUAGAGCUCAGCUGUGACUGAAGCCUCAUGCGAGAACAUGCUCCAGCAUCACCGAAUGUAAAAAGCUGCACACAAAAAAAUAUUUUCAUCAUGUGACUUUAUUCAGAGGAGUAAUGAUUUCUAUACACAAAAUAUUUUUACAGUAUGUCACUUUUUUUCCUCCUGUGUUGUAAGUCUGUACUGUUCUUUGCCGUUCACACCAAAUUAAAAGGUCUUCUGCUUCCUUU